GGGGGCGGGGGGCGGGCAGGGGGUGUAAGGAGGGCCCCGGGCACUGGGGAGCGCUGGCUCUCCCCCCCCGCCCCCCCCCCCAGACACUGGCUCCAUCAAAGAGGCGCUUUGUCCUAAACCUUCGGCCCCGAGGAGUCCAACCUGGUUCUAAUCACUUCAGAGUCGCCGUCUUUCACAGUGAUCCUGUUUACAUUCUGCGCGCCUUCUCGCUGGCCAGCCCUGACACCAGCAAGCCCGCUCGCUCCAGCUUCAUUUCCAUGUCCUCGGACUUCUUGCGGAGCUCCUCCUUCUGGGCCAGCUUCUCGUCGUACUGCUUCUUCAGCAUCU